UACGGGGGGGGGCAAGCGUUGCUCGGAAUUACUGGGCGUAAAGAGCUCGUAGGUGGUUUGUCGCGUUGUUCGUGAAAACUCACAGCUCAACUGUGGGCGUGCGGGCGAUACGGGCAGGCUGGAGGCUGGUAGGGGCAAGCGGAAUUCCUGGUGUAGCGGUGAAAUGCGCAGAUAUCAGGAGGAACACCGGUGGCGAAGGCGGCUUGCUGGGCCAGUUCUGACGCUGAGGAGCGAAAGCGUGGGGAGCGAACAGG
rnacentral:rRNA from 1 species